rnacentral:rRNA from 1 species
UACCGAGGGUGCGAGCGUUCAUCGGAAUUACUGGGCGUAAAGCGCAUGUAGGUGGCAAGUUAAGUUUGAUGUGAAAGCCCUGGGCUUAACCUGGGAAUGGCAUUGAGUACUGGCUAGCUAGAGUCGGACAGAGGGUAGUGGAAUUUCCGGUGUAGCGGUGAAAUGCGUAGAUAUCGGAAAGAACACCAGUGGCGAAGGCGGCUACCUGGGUCCAGACUGACACUGAGGUGCGAAAGCGUGGGGAGCAAACAGG